UUCGCCUGAACCCCCCUUCCCCUUCAUUCGUGCACACUAGAAAAGUGCAAAUCCCCUUUGAAGUAAAACCCUAGCCCUAGGUUCCUUGCCGCCGCCGUCUCCAGGUUCUCCGUUCUCGACACCUCCGCUUCUUCUUCUUCCCCAGGUCCGGAACCCAGGUAGCUCGGCACUUCGUCCACUGGCUUCUCUGUUUGUGGCUUGGAGCAGCUCGCCGUUUGCCGUCGUCUCACCUGUCGUCGUCGUCUCGUCUAUCGCCGGUUGCCGUCCGUGCCUCCGUCGAAGUGUCAUUACUAUUUUGCUCAAGCAUGUUAUCUGAAUCUGAAAGCCAACUAAUGGAGGACA